AUGUUUAAAAUUAAUCAUCUUCCAAUCACACUGAUUUCCAUUACCUGUCUUGGUGAAAGGUGUCACUCCUCUCCCUGUAGGCUGAUUAGCUGCCCUGGGCUGAGGGAGCAUCUGGACGGAAAACACAACACUCCUGGCAAAGAGGAAAGGUCCAAGGUCCGUCGCCUACUCCACUUCGGUGACUCCAGCCUGCUACUCUCUUGCUUUUGCCUUCAACUGGAUGAAUCCAACUUGAACCCUGAGAGCAGUUCCUGGGGCACAGAACAGAGCAGAGGAAAGCAAAGAGAAUGACAGAUAACCACCACAGUCUAUAUUUAUGGCAUUUUUUGUCUUUUACAUUUACCUUUUUUUUGUUCGUUUGUUUUUGUUUUUGUUUUUUUAAGUCUGCACCUGCAGCAUAUAGAAGUUCCCAGGCUAGGGGUCAAAUUGGAGCUGGAGCUGCCAGCCUGUGCCACAGCCACAGCAGUGCCAGAUUGAAGCCAUGUCUGUGACCUACACUGCAGCUCACAGCAACCUUGAGUCCUUAACCCACUGAGCAAUACCAGGGAUCAAACCAGCAACCUCAUGGACACUAGUCAACUUCGUUACCACUGAGCCACAAUGGGAACUUCUUUUACAUUUACUUUUAAAAUUCACUUAUAAUUUUCUUGAUUGUAGUUCGUAAUAGGGAUAAGUUUUUAAUUUAAUUUUUCUAGAUAGCUAUGAAGUUAUCUUAGGUGCAUAUACUGAAUCAUGUUCCUAUUUAUUUUAACUGCUGCUAUCAUCAAAUUAAAUUUUAUAAUGGGUUUUUGUUCAGUGUUUCCUACUGUUUCCUUGAUUAAUUUGUUCUUGUGCAGUAACACAGUAUUUUAAUUAUUGUAGCAUGACAAUAUGUUUUAACAUUUGCAAGAGUGACUCUCAAGUAUUCUUAAGUUCUGAUAAAAUUAUUAGGAAAGAAUAGCUUUGAAAACUGGGGAAAAUGUCACAUACAGAAAGCUUAGUUAUUCAGAUAUGUUUUGAAGUGAUACUGCUAAAUGGUAUGUGCAAAUUCUAAUUCUCUAAUAUGGGAUCUCUCUAUAUAUUACUAGAGAGAACAAGGAGGCUUUUUUCUGUUUUGUUAUGUUUAUUAGCUUGUUGUAUUUUUUAGAUUCUACACAUAAGUGAUAACAUACGUUACUUGACUUUUUUUGUCUGACUUGUUUCACUAAGAAUAUCCUCCGGGUCCAUCCAUGUUGUUUUGUUUUAUUUUGUCUUUUUGCAUUUUCUAGGGCCGAUCCUGCAGCAUGUGGAGAUUCCCAGGCUAGGGGUCUAA
rnacentral:lncRNA from 1 species